rnacentral:rRNA from 1 species
UCGGUAGCGUCGGCGGCGUACGGUGAGGCGUUCAGUGGCGGCGGUCGGGUCCCGGAGUACGGAGGUGGCGAGCGGGGAAAGAGACAUCCAGCGGCUGCGUUGGGAUCUGGGGCCCCGGCAAGGGAGUAGGGGUGGUCCGAGCUCCUCCGGGCUCCUCCACCGGUACUCCUCGCGCGUCGGCGGUCUAGGUACCCGUCUAGGUCGGCCGCGGCAGCCGUCGGUAGGGAGGGAGGCCACCGGCAUUCUUAACUUGUCCGAACUCGUCUUGCUCACGUACCUGCCACGCGUGGAGGCCGCUAUCCUCGGUGGUCAGGAGCAGUAGACGAUCGUAGGUGCUCCUUAGCUAGGUAUACAUUCGAUCGAAGGUCUUAUUAGGUAGGUCGACCGACGAACGAACAUACACAUGAUCACCUUUGCUCUCGUUUUACGCUCUGGCCGCAGCUCCCAUGUACGGGCGACGAUUAACUAAGAGGUCUUAUAAACACCCCUCGAGCCUAUCACAACUACGGAGUUCCCAAAUACGUAUAGUUAAGGUACGACAAAUUUCGGUGACAUUAGUACCGAUGACCAAAGGUCUGAGUUUUUUCCUAUUAACUCAACGUCGACUUAAGAAGCUAACCUACUACUUCGUUUGUAUUAACCUUCUGAAAUGAACCGUUAUUAGCAUCAAAUUUAAUUAUCUAACUUUUUACAUUAUGGCAAGUCUUCUAGAAACGGAAAACAGCUUAACAACGUUUAAGAUACCACAUUAUAAGAGGUAUCUACACAAGAGAUAACAUUUUAACUAUGCUUACUAUACAACAAGUUGGUUAUUGUAACCAUAAAUAAGUAACAUUACGUAUACAUAGGAUGUGAACAUAUAAGUGUUAUUUAUGGAACUAUAAAA